rnacentral:rRNA from 1 species
GAUGAACGUUGGCGGCGUGCCUAAUACAUGCAAGUCGAACGAAGACUGUAGUAAUACUGUCUUAGUGGCGAACGGGUGAGUAACGCGUGGGUGACCUGCCCCGAAGUGUGGGAUAACAGUUCGAAAGGAUUGCUAAUACUGCAUAAUAUCCAAGAGAUUAGACGCUUUUGGAUUAAAGGAGUAAUUCGCUUCGGGAGGGGCCCGCGUCCCAUCAGCUAGUUGGUAAGGUAAUGGCUUACCAAGGCGAUGACGGGUAGGGGACCUGAGAGGGUGACCCCCCACAAUGGAACUGAAACACGGUCCAUACACCUACGGGUGGCAGCAGUAGGGAAUAUUAGUAAUGGGCGAAAGCCUGAACUAGCAACGCCGCGUGUGCGAAGAAGGCCUUCGGGUCGUAAAGCACUUUUUGAGAGGAUGAGGAAGGACGGUACUCUCAGAAUAAGUCCUCCGGCUAACUACCGUGCCAGCCAGGACCGCGGUAAACUGUAGUCGU